rnacentral:tRNA from 1 species
GGUAUCGUAGCUCAGUUGGUAGAGCAAAGGACUGAAAAUCCUUGUGUCGACGGUUCAAUUCCGCCCGAUACCAC